rnacentral:rRNA from 1 species
GAUGAACGCCGGCGGCGUGCCUAACACAUGCAAGUCGAGCGAGAAAUCUUGGAAUGAGACUUCGGUUAAGUGAAGAGAUGGAAAGCGGCGGACGGGUGAGUAACGCGUAGGCAACCUGCCUUAUGCAGAGGGAUAGCCAUUGGAAACGAUGAUUAAAACCUCAUAAUGCCAUUUUAUCACAUGGUGAGAUGGUCAAAGAUUUAUCGGCAUAAGAUGGGCCUGCGUCUGAUUAGCUAGUUGGUGGGGUAACGGCCUACCAAGACGACGAUCAGUAGCUGACCUGAGAGGGUGAUCGGCCAUAUUGGAACUGAGACACGGUCCAAACUCCUACGGGAGGCAGCAGUGGGGAAUAUUGCACAAUGGGCGAAAGCCUGAUGCAGCAACGCCGCGUGAAGGAAGAAGGUCUUCGGAUCGUAAACUUCUGUCCUUGGGGAAGAUAAUGACGGUACCCUUGGAGGAAGCCCCGGCUAACUACGUGCCAGCAGCCGCGGUAAUACGUAGGGGGCAAGCGUUAUCCGGAAUUAUUGGGCGUAAAGAGUGCGUAGGUGGUUACCUAAGCAGGGGGUGAAAGGCACUGGCUUAACCAAUGUCAGCCCCCUGAACUGGGUACCUUGAGUGCAGGAGAGGAAAGCGGAAUUCCUAGUGUAGCGGUGAAAUGCGUAGAUAUUAGGAGGAACACCAGUGGCGAAGG